AUUGAACGCUGGCGGAAUGCUUUACACAUGCAAGUCGAACGGCAGCACGGGGCAACCUGGUGGCGAGUGGCGAACGGGUGAGUAAUACAUCGGAACGUGCCCAAUCGUGGGGGAUAACGUAGCGAAAGUUACGCUAAUACCGCAUACGACCUACGGAUGAAAGCGGGGGAUCGCAAGACCUCGCGCGAAUGGAGCGGCCGAUGUCAGAUUAGGUAGUUGGUGGGGUAAAGGCUCACCAAGCCAACGAUCUGUAGCUGGUCUGAGAGGACGACCAGCCACACUGGGACUGAGACACGGCCCAGACUCCUACGGGAGGCAGCAGUGGGGAAUUUUGGACAAUGGGCGCAAGCCUGAUCCAGCCAUUCCGCGUGCAGGAUGAAGGCCUUCGGGUUGUAAACCGCUUUUGUACGGAACGAAACGGUUCUCUCUAAUACAGGGGGCUAAUGACGGUACCGUAAGAAUAAGCACCGGCUAACUACGUGCCAGCCGCCGCAGUAAAAC
rnacentral:rRNA from 1 species